GAGCGGGCGUAGCAAUACGUCAGCGGCAGACGGGUGAGUAACGCGUGGGAACGUACCUUUUGGUUCGGAACAACACAGGGAAACUUGUGCUAAUACCGGAUAAGCCCUUACGGGGAAAGAUUUAUCGCCGAAAGAUCGGCCCGCGUCUGAUUAGCUAGUUGGUAGGGUAAUGGCCUACCAAGGCGACGAUCAGUAGCUGGUCUGAGAGGAUGAUCAGCCACAUUGGGACUGAGACACGGCCCAAACUCCUACGGGAGGCAGCAGUGGGGAAUAUUGGACAAUGGGCGCAAGCCUGAUCCAGCCAUGCCGCGUGGGUGAUGAAGGCCCUAGGGUUGUAAAGCCCUUUCGGCGGGGAAGAUAAUGACGGUACCCGCAGAAGAAGCCCCGGCUAACUUCGUG
rnacentral:rRNA from 1 species